rnacentral:rRNA from 1 species
GAUGAACGCUGGCGGCGUGCCUAAUACAUGCAAGUCGAGCGAACAGACGAGGAGCUUGCUCCUCUGACGUUAGCGGCGGACGGGUUAGUAACACGUGGAUAACCUACCUAUAAGACUGGGAUAACUUCGGGAAACCGGAGCUAAUACCGGAUAAUAUAUUGAACCGCAUGGUUCAAUAGUGAAAGACGGUUUUGCUGUCUCUUAUAGAUGGAUCCGCGCCGCAUUAGCUAGUUGGUAAGGUAACGGCUUACCAAGGCAACGAUGCGUAGCCGACCUGAGAGGGUGAUCGGACACAAUGGAACUGAGACACGGUCCAGACUCCUACGGGAGGCAGCAGUAGGGAAUCUUCCGCAAUGGGCGAAAGCCUGACGGAGCAACGCCGCGUGAGUGAUGAAGGUCUUCGGAUCGUAAAACUCUGUUAUUAGGGAAGAACAAAUGUGUAAGUAACUAUGCACGUCUUGACGGUACCUAAUCAGAAAGCCACGGCUAACUACGUG